GUAAAUUUACGUCACGGAUCCACCAGUAUUGAAGGAAUUGUGUGUGGAGGAUCGAGAGGAGGAAACUAUUUAGUGACAAGACAGUUUAUCCUGUGUUUUAGCAUCAAAUCUUACCAGAAUAAGACCAUCGAUAAUUCGUUUGCCGACUAUCAGCAAGCAACUAAUAAUCCGGACAAUUAUUAAACUGCAUUAUAAUUACUUGCCUAAAGGCGGGUGUAAAUCACAAUAUGUUGGAGUACCUGUUGUGCGUGGCGGUUAUAUCAGCUUGUAUUCUUAUCGCCUUUCAAUCUUACACCGGAGCUAAAAAUGGUCCCCCUGGACCCAAAGGAUAUCCUUUUUUUGGUGUGAUCUUUGAAGUCGACGUCUUUAGGUUGCACGAGAAAUUGUAUGAAUGGACACAACAGUAUGGGGAUGUUUUCCAGUUUCAAAUGCUCGGCAAGAAAUUUCUCUGUAUCAAUUCAGUUGAGGUGUUGCGAGAGACUUUUUUGCAAGAACCAUGUGCUACAAUUAACGCUUAUAGGUCCCCGACGUUUACUGGAAAAUAUUUAUUAAAAAAUUAUUCAGAUGUUAUAUUCGCAUCACCAAGCUCGCUCUGGGAAAAACGAAGAAAAUUUGUUUAUCGUCUGCUCCAUACAUACGGAGAGGGAAUAACGUCACUUGAAAAUCAAGUAUUGCAAAAUCUGAUUCGUUUUAAAGGAAAAAUACGUCAAAACAUUUCAAAAGACGUAAAUCCAUUUGAAAUUGUGGAUGAAUUUAUACUGAGUACUAUAGAAACGCUGAUCAUUGGUCGGAGUUUUGGUAAAGAAGGUCCCUUGCAACCUUUGCUUAAAUUGGAGGAGGAAUUAGCAAAUCGUCUUGCUAAUCCAGGAACGGAUGGAGUACUGAGGGCUUUCCCCUUCCUACGUUUUCUCCCUCUUCCAAUGUCAUCAAUCUAUCAUGAAGCUAAAAGCGUACAUCAGCAACUUUUGGAUAAACUAGAGACCUUAUCGAAAGAGGAUUGUGAAGACACAGGGAUAUAUCAUACCAUGAAGAAAGCAUUGAAGGAAAGAGAUGAAAAUGGGAACGCAUGGUUCAAUGAUGAUAAUAUAUAUGGAGUUCUUUUUAAUAUUUCAGGAGCAGCAUAUUUAACAACAAGGGGAACUCUCCUAUCCGCCAUCAAUAUCCUUGCGAAAAGAUUGGAACUACAGAAAUCAUUGCAGAGAGAAGUAGACAGUGUCAUUGGACGGAACCGGGAACCUAGACUUUCAGACCGGAAGAAGUGUCCACUGAUGGAAGCUGUCGUCAUGGAAACACUACGUUAUAUCUCCCAUGUUCCACUUCUUGUACUUCACGCCAAUUCGCAAUCCACUACCAUUGGUGGAUACAGUGUGGAGAAGGACACAGUGGUAGGUCAUUGAGUACAUGUAAGUACAUGUACAAAAGUGGAGAAAAUGCAAAUAAAGUAACAGUGUGUUAUAGGAGAAGGGCUUGUUCUUUCAUAAAAGAAAAUAAAAUUUAAUUUACAUUUAUAUAAAGUAAUUUAUAAUAAAAUCAUACAAUAUUCAACAUUUUGAUUCCUUCUUUAAUCCAUGAUGCUCAAACGGCAUAUCUCCAGUUUUAGAUUGCAAACUCCAUGAUUUUAUUAUAAAUUACUUUAUAUAAAUUUUCUCUUGUCUGCAUAAAUUUGAGUUUUAAAAAAGGUAUGCCAUUUAUGUUUCACUGAAAAUUAAAAUCCUCAUUAAAGCCCCGAGGCUUAUAAAACCUGGUGCUUAGUAGAUAAGAGUCACUGUCUCCAAUUGGAUGGUCACAAUCUAAAGGUCAUAGCAGGUUAACCCCAAGUCAGUAACCAUUGCAGCUGUACGGAUUGAGACAAUGUAGGUAAGGCUUUGUCCAAGACACAAAACACGACAUCAAGUGACAGCGUAACUCGCAUCAUUAAAAAUCGUUUUGUUUUAAUUUUUAGAUAAAUGUCUAAAUCUCAAAAAAUUAAACUUCAUACACGGUUGAUUCUCGCGAUUAUUAUUUUGAAGAUGUGAUUGUUUUUGUGUAUAAUGGGUUGUGCAAUACAAUUCUAAAUGAGUGAAGUAAAAUAAACCUUGAUGUUGUUAGUGUAAAAAAUGUAUUUAACCCUGUAACACUUUAUUUUGUCUACAGAUUAUUCCCAACAGCUGGACCAUGCAUCACAGUGAGAAAUACUGGGACGACCCGUUCAGCUUUAAGCCUGAACGUUUCUUGGACGAAGAUGGUCAGCUUUUGCCCGCCACAGACCCAGUCAGGAAAAGAUUUGCAUCAUUCGGAUUAGGAAAACGAAGUUGCAUAGGCGAAGUUUUUGCAAAAUCUCGGAUCUUUCUCUUCUUGUCUUCGCUGAUGCAAAUGGCAACUAUUGCCGAACCGGAAGGAAAACGUUUACCUGAUCUUGAUCCCAGAAAAAUGAUUCCCGGAAUUGUCUUACAGCCACAAGAAUACGAAGUUCGAUUUUUAAUGCGCUGAAUUCGAAAACUUUUUUGUUCAUGAAAUAAAAGCAAACAAGAAAAGUU
rnacentral:misc_RNA from 1 species